ensembl:snRNA U1 U1 spliceosomal RNA
ACACUUACCUAGCAGGGGAGAUACCAUGAUCACAAAGGUGGUUUUCCCAGGGCAAGGAUUAUCCAUUGCACUUCAGAUGUGCUGACCCCUGCAAUUUCCCCAAAUGUGGGAGACUGGACUGUAUAAUUUGUGGUAGUGGGAGAAGGAAAAAAAAAAAAAGAGUGUUUUGUCUAUCCUGA